rnacentral:rRNA from 1 species
GAUGAACGCUGGCGGCGUGCUUAACACAUGCCAGUCGAACGGAAAGGCCCAAGCUUGCUUGGGUACUCGAGUGGCGAACGGGUGAGUAACACGUGGGUGAUCUGCCCUGCACUUCGGGAUAAGCCUGGGAAACUGGGUCUAAUACCGGAUAGGACCACUUCUUGGAUGUUGUGGUGGAAAGUUUUUUCGGUGUGGGAUGAGCUCGCGGCCCAUCAGCUUGUUGGUGGGGUAAUGGCCUACCAAGGCGUCGACGGGUAGCCGGCCUGAGAGGGUGUACGGCCACAUUGGGACUGAGAUACGGCCCAGACUCCUACGGGAGGCAGCAGUGGGGAAUAUUGCACAAUGGGCGCAAGCCUGAUGCAGCGACGCCGCGUGGGGGAUGACGGCCUUCGGGUUGUAAACUCCUUUCGCUAGGGACGAAGCGUUUUGUGACGGUACCUGGAGAAGAAGCACCGGCUAACUACGUG